GAUGAACGCUGGCGGCGUGCCUAAUACAUGCAAGUCGAGCGAACAGACGAGGAGCUUGCUCCUCUGACGUUAGCGGCGGACGGGUGAGUAACACGUGGAUAACCUACCUAUAAGACUGGGAUAACUUCGGGAAACCGGAGCUAAUACCGGAUAACAUGUUGAACCGCAUGGUUCAACAGUGAAAGACGGUCUUGCUGUCACUUAUAGAUGGAUCCGCGCCGCAUUAGCUAGUUGGUAAGGUAACGGCUUACCAAGGCAACGAUGCGUAGCCGACCUGGGAGGGUGAUCGGCCACACUGGAACUGAGACACGGUCCAGACUCCUACGGGAGGCAGCAGUAGGGAAUCUUCCGCAAUGGGCGAAAGCCUGACGGAGCAACGCCGCGUGAGUGAUGAAGGUCUUCGGAUCGUAAAACUCUGUUAUUAGGGAAGAACAAAUGUGUAAGUAACUAUGCACGUCUUGACGGUACCUAAUCAGAAAGCCACGGCUAACUACGUG
rnacentral:rRNA from 1 species